rnacentral:rRNA from 1 species
UACGUAGGGGGCUAGCGUUGUCCGGAAUUAUUGGGCGUAAAGAGCUCGUAGGCGGUGUGUCGCGUCGGCUGUGAAACCCUGAGGCUCAACCUCAGGCCUGCAGUCGAUACGGGCGGACUUGAGUUCGGCAGGGGAGACUGGAAUUCCUGGUGUAGCGGUGAAAUGCGCAGAUAUCAGGAGGAACACCGGUGGCGAAGGCGGGUCUCUGGGCCGAAACUGACGCUGAGGAGCGAAAGCGUGGGGAGCGAACAGG